GGCGGGCUUAACACAUGCAAGUCGAAGGAGAACCUUACUUUCGGGUGAGGGGAGACUGGCGCACGGGUGAGUAACGCGUAGGCAAUCUGCCCAUAGCAGGGGGAUAACAUCGGGAAACCGGUGCUAAUACCGCAUAAUGCAGCGGGGCCGCAUGGCCACAGUUGUUAAAGGUUUCGACCGGCUAUGGAUGAGCCUGCGUGCCAUUAGUUAGUUGGUAGGGUAAUGGCCUACCAAGGCGAUGAUGGCUAGGGGGUCUGAGAGGAUGAUCCCCCACACUGGAACUGAGACACGGUCCAGACUCCUACGGGAGGCAGCAGUGAGGAAUCUUGCGCAAUGGAGGAAACUCUGACGCAGCCACGCCGCGUGCCGGAAGACGGCCCUAUGGGUUGUAAACGGCUUUUGUUCGGGAAGAAAGUACGGGUUUUGAUCUGUAUUGACGGUACCGAUUGAAUAAGCACCGGCUAACUCCGUGCCAGCAGCCGCGGUAAUACGGAGGGUGCAAGCGUUGUCCGGAAUCAUUGGGUGUAAAGGGUGCGUAGGCUGGUGUCUAAGUCUGGGGUGAAAUUUUGCCGCUUAACGGUAACAUGGCCUUGGAUACUGGAUGCCUUGAAUCUGACAGAGGUCGGUGGAAUUCGUAGUGUAGCGGUGAAAUGCAUAGAUAUUACGAAGAACACCAGUGGCGAAGGCGGCCGGCUGGGUCAGUAUUGACGCUGAGGCACGAGAGCGUGGGGAGCGAACAGGAUUAGAUACCCUGGUAGUCCACGCUGUANACGAUGUAUGCUAGUUGUUGGGCCUUUGGGUUCAGUGACGCAGUUAACGNAGUAAGCAUACCCCCUGGGGAGUACGUUCGCAAGAAUGAAACUCAAAGGAAUUGACGGGGCCCCG
rnacentral:rRNA from 1 species